rnacentral:rRNA from 1 species
GACUCUCGGCAACGGAUAUCUCGGCUCACGCAU